AUUGAACGCUGGCGGCAGGCCUAACCCAUGCAAGUCUAACGAGUGGCGGACGGGUGAGUAAUGUCUGGGAAACUGCCUGAUGGAGGGGGAUAACUACUGUAAACGGUAGCUAAUACAGCAUACCAUCGGAUGUUCCCAGAUGGGAUUAGUGAGUAGGUGGGGGAAAGGCUCACCUAGGCGACGAGCCCUAGCUGGUCUGAGAGGAUGACCAGCCACACGGGAACUGAGACACGUGCCAGACUCCUACGGGAGUCAGCAGUGGUGAAUAGUGUACAUGGGGCUCACGGCGGAUGCAGCCAUGCCGCGUGUAUGAAGAAGGCCUUCGGGUUGUAAAGUACUUUCAGCUGGGAGGCGUUACCCGCAGAAGAAGCAACGGCUAACUCCGUGCCAGCAGCCGCGGUAAUAC
rnacentral:rRNA from 1 species